CUAUUCUCAGAGCUAGAUAAAGGGUGGUUUACCAGAGCAACUUCUCAGUCACUGAACCACAAGACAUUCUAAACUGUCCCUGGAAUGAUCUAGAAAUUAUAGUGCCAGCCAACUCAGCUUUCCUCAUAUAGGUUGAAAUGUUCCUGCUGGAGUAGUAAAGUGUCUCUACUGGAAAGAAAAUAAUAAUCUAAAACAUCACUUGCCAUCACCCAACUAAUGCUGGCUCCAGUGUGAAGCCCAGCAUAGCACUUGAACUCAUGACCCUGGAAUCAAGAUCUGAGCUGAGAUCAAGAGUUGGACACUCAACUGACUGAGCCCUCCAGAUUGAAGAACUGAGGCCCAGGGAGUUUCUGUAACUUGCUUCAUCUAAAACCACACAGCCAGUUGGAAGUUCAUCUCUUCCUCUUAUCUCUUAAAAAUUUCUUUUCCAUCACCUUUGAACGG